GUCUAUGGCCAUGCCACCCUGAACAAGCCCGAUGUCUGAUCUCAGAAGCUAAGCAGGAUUGGGCCUGGUCAGUACUUGGAUGGGAGACCGCCUAGGAAGACCAAGUGCUGUAGGCA
rnacentral:rRNA from 1 species